GAUGAACGCUGGCGGCGUGCCUAAUACAUGCAAGUCGAGCGAACAGACGAGGAGCUUGCUCCUCUGACGUUAGCGGCGGACGGGUGAGUAACACGUGGAUAACCUACCUAUAAGACUGGGAUAACUUCGGGAAACCGGAGCCAAUACCGGAUAAUAUAUUGAACCGCAUGGUUCAAUAGUGAAAGACGGUUUUGCUGUCACUUAUAGAUGGAUCCGCGCCGCAUUAGCUAGUUGGUAAGGUAACGGCUUACCAAGGCAACGAUGCGUAGCCGACCUGAGAGGGUGAUCGGCCACACUGGAACUGAGACACGGUCCAGACUCCUACGGGAGGCAGCAGGAGGGAAUCCUCCGCCAUGGGCGAAAGCCUGACGGGGCAACGCCGCGUGAGUGAUGAAGGUCUUCGGAUCGUAAAACUCUGUCAUUAGGGAAGAACAAAUGUGUAAGUAACUAUGCACGUCUUGACGGUACCUAAUCAGAAAGCCACGGCUAACUACGUG
rnacentral:rRNA from 1 species